UGGUAGUCCACGCUGUAAACGAUGUCGAUUUGGAGGUUGCGCCCUUGAGGGGUGGCUUCCGUAGCUAACGCGUUAAAUCGACCGCCUGGGGAGUACGGCCGCAAGGUUAAAACUCAAAUGAAUUGACGGGGGCCCGCACAAGCGGUGGAGCAUGUGGUUUAAUUCGAUGCAACGCGAAGAACCUUACCUACUCUUGACAUCCAGAGAACUUUCCAGAGAUGGAGGGGUGCCUUCGGGAGCAUCUGAGACAGGUGCUGCAUGGCUGUCGUCAGCUCGUGUUGUGAAAUGUUGGGUUAAGUCCCGCAACGAGCGCAACCCUUAUCCUUUGUUGCCAGCGAUAAAGUCGGGAACUCAAAGGAGACUGCCGGUGAUAAACCGGAGGAAGGUGGGGAUGACGUCAAGUCAUCAUGGCCCUUACGAGUAGGGCUACACACGUGCUACAAUGGCGUAUACAAAGAGAAGCGACCUCGCGAGAGCAAGCGGACCUCACAAAGUACGUCGUAGUCCGGAUUGGAGUCUGCAACUCGACUCCAUGAAGUCGGAAUCGCUAGU
rnacentral:rRNA from 1 species